GUGGCCUUUUAGUUUUAACCCUGCAAUCUAAUACAUUGCCACUGCAUAUGUAUAGGUAAUUGCCUGGUUAACACACCACUAGUGGCUACAUUCACAGGCAGCAGACAAGAUUCUGUGGAAGAACAGUCACAACUGUUAUUCAAAUGACUCAGUGUUUAAUUGGCACAUCAUGGAAUUUUUCUAGUUCAGCUACUUUGACCUGAAAAGCACUAAUGAAUCACCUGUAAAUCUUAACAGAAGAAUACUUGGGAGUACAAGUGACACAGGCUGAGCAAAAGAUCUGACAGGUGAGGGGGAAGUACUAAGUCACUUCAGGAGUAGGUCUGACCAGAGGCCUCAGACCAACACUGGCAUGAGAGGUAGCCAAAACUUCUGCACUUAACCUCUCCCAGAACUCAGCAAUUCAUCUUAUUUCUGCCCUUGGGCUGGCAAAACUAUUGUCAACCUAUUACACAGAAUACCCAUGGAAGCUUUAAAGGGACACUCGAGGCACCCAGACCACUUCAGCUAAUUGAAGUGGUGUCUGGGUGCUGUGACCCUUUUGCACUAAAACAUUGCACUGUAAAACAUUGCAGCUUUAAGUCUGUCCUUUGUGGCUAACAGACACUCACUAGAGAGCUUCUGGAAUUUAAACAGACCUUUGGUCUGUUAUCUGAUGCUAGAUGUCCUCACGGACCUCCAGUGUCAGAUUUUCCCCCAUAGGAAAGCAUUGAAUAAUGCUUUCCUAUGGGGAGGUCUAAUGCACGUGCAUUAGGUCUCCCCCGCCGGUUGACAUUGAUGGGGAAGUAGCCAGACCCAGUGCCGAGGGACAUUGGAUUCAGGUAAGUAACUGGAGAAUCCCUUUAAACUUUUGAAAUGGUCUUAUGCAACAUGUUACAAACCACGGCCAGCUCCUAUGAUCUGAAAUAUACCAAUGAAUGAAGAUACACCAUUCUUGACUCAGGGCAUCAGCUUGAUUUGUCUUAGUCCUUUAUCAAAAGAUAUGCUACACUGUACCAGAGUGUGGUUCCUUAUUCAACCUAGGACCAGCUCUAUCAGAGGAAACUCAGGAAAGCGUAAAAAAACAAAACCAUUCUAAAAACAGCAGAAACGCUUCAAAGUAUGUGUAAAUAUUAAAGAAAUCGAGUUUUUCCCAUUAUAUUCAAGAACUAAAGACAGAAACAGAUUCUAAAAGGCAGAAGUCCGUUAUUUACUCAAGUGGGAAUUGUUAGAAAUUCAAAAUUAAGCAGUAUCUACAAAGCGCCAACAUAUACCACAUCGCUGUAGGUAGACCAACAAGUUGUUGGACAUACAGGAACCGUAAAAGCUCACGGUCCUAAUCAAACAAUGUUACGUUAUAGUUUCAAAUUUAAAGGUCAAAGAAGCAAACUUCAUUUGAAAGUUUCCCCUUCCCCCCCCCUUUUUUUUUUUUUUAAACCUCAAGUUUGAAACAUACUUUGAAAUCCAAACAAUUCUCAAUCUAGAGAAUACUCGAGUGUUUCAUCUCUAGCAAGUAACAUGUUUAGUAGAUACCUAUUUGCUGACCCCUACAGGAUACUAGUGAAAUUGCAGAAACACUUUUUACGGCUUUAGUGUAAAAACAA